rnacentral:lncRNA from 1 species
AAGAAACUAAAAUUAAAAUAAUACAAGACUAACAAAGGCCAGAGGCUCCUGACUUGGGACAGGCGCAAAAAAUGCGGCGGGGUUAAACAUGUUUGUGAGAUCUCAACCCUCCCCCUAUACCUCUAACCAAUGUAGUAAAGUAAACGCAUAACAAUACGCACAUUAAAAUUCAGUUCAAGAGAAAUCCGAGUCUGAUGUCAAAAGAUGUAACCAAAGAAAAUAAACAAAAUGACAAUAAUACAUAAAUAACAACAGACUACUAGCAGUUAACUGACAUGCCAGCUCCAGAC